CAGUAGCCGCGGGAAUACAGAGGGUGCAAGCGUUAAUCGGAAUUACUGGGCGUAAAGCGCGCGUAGGUGGUUUGUUAAGUUGGAUGUGAAAUCCCCGGGCUCAACCUGGGAACUGCAUCCAAAACUGGCAGGCUAGAGUAGGGCAGAGGGUGGUGGAAUUUCCUGUAUAGCGGUGAAAUGCGUAGAUAUAGGAAGGAACACCAGUGGCGAAGGCGACCACCUGGGCUCAUACUGACACUGAGGUGCGAAAGCGUGGGGAGCAAACAGGAUUAGAUACCCCAGUAGUCCCUGUCUCUUAUAC
rnacentral:rRNA from 1 species